rnacentral:rRNA from 1 species
UACGUAGGGGGCAAGCGUUGUCCGGAUUCAUUGGGCGUAAAGAGCGUGUAGGCGGCCUGGUAGGUCUGUCGUGAAAGUUCGAGGCUCAACCUCGAAAUGCCGGCAGAAACCACUUGGCUAGAGUCCGGAAGAGGAGAGUGGAAUUCCUGGUGUAGCGGUGAAAUGCGCAGAUAUCAGGAAGAACACCUAUGGCGAAGGCAGCUCUCUGGGACGGUACUGACGCUGAGACGCGAAAGCGUGGGGAGCGAACAGG